rnacentral:rRNA from 1 species
UGCAGUCGAACGGUAACAUUUCUAGCUUGCUAGAAGAUGACGAGUGGCGGACGGGUGAGUAAUGCUUGGGAACUUGCCUUUGCGAGGGGGAUAACAGUUGGAAACGACUGCUAAUACCGCAUAAUGUCUUCGGACCAAACGGGGCUUAGGCUCCGGCGCAAAGAGAGGCCCAAGUGAGAUUAGCUAGUUGGUAAGGUAACGGCUUACCAAGGCGACGAUCUCUAGCUGUUCUGAGAGGAAGAUCAGCCACACUGGGACUGAGACACGGCCCAGACUCCUACGGGAGGCAGCAGUGGGGAAUAUUGCACAAUGGGGGAAACCCUGAUGCAGCCAUGCCGCGUGUGUGAAGAAGGCCUUCGGGUUGUAAAGCACUUUCAGUUGUGAGGAAAAGUUAGUAGCUAAUACCUGCUAGCCGUGACGUUAACAACAGAAGAAGCACCGGCUAACUCCGUGCCAGCAGCCGCGGUAAUACGGAGGGUGCGAGCGUUAAUCGGAAUUACUGGGCGUAAAGCGCACGCAGGCGGUUUGUUAAGCUAGAUGUGAAAGCCCCGGGCUCAACCUGGAUGGUCAUUUAGAACUGGCAGACUAGAGUCUUGGAGAGGGAGUGGAAUUCCA